GUUGGCGCCCCCCCUUGGGCUGUGCCGUGGCGGAGAUCUUUGUGGUCUAUACUCGGCCUUGUCUCGGGAUGGACCUGAGCCCUAGGACCAUGCCUCAGGACUACCUGGCUUGAUGACUCCUUGCUGUCCCCAGUUCACCUGGCCGUGCUGCUGCUCCAGUUCCAACUGUUCUGCCUGCAGCUAUGGAACCCUGACCUGUUCACCGGAUGUGCUACCUGUCCCAGACCUGCUGUCCCAGACCUGCUGGAACCCUGACCUAUUCACCGGAUGUGCUACCUGUCCCAGACCUGCUGUUUUCAACUCUCUAGAGACAGCAGUAGCGGUAGAGAUACUCUCAAAGAUUGGCUAUGAAAAAGCCAACUGACACCUACUCUUGUGUUACUGACUUGUUGCACCCUCGACAACUACUAUGAUUAUUAUUAUUUGACCAUGCUGGUCAUUUAUGAACAUUUGAACAUCUAGGCCAUGUGCUGUUAUAAUCUCC
rnacentral:lncRNA from 1 species